rnacentral:lncRNA from 1 species
AUAGAAUGAAAUAUAAGGUAUUCUAGAACAUUAAAGAAUAUCUAAAGAAUAUAUAUAUAGAAAUAAUAUUCCUAUAUAAUUCUACUUUUAAUAAUUAAAAUGAUAUAUAAUAGAUAAAAUUAUAUAAAAUAAAUUUAUUUAAAUAAUAAGGAUCGGGAUAAAUACAUCUAAUAAAUAUGAAUUUUUAAUAAUAGAAAUAGAUAAAAUAUAAUAAAUAAUCGAAAUUUAAAGAAUCUAAAAUAUUCAAAAAUGGGAUUAAAAACUAAAAAAAAAAAAGAGAAUCUUACUAUAUGAAUGAAAAUUCUUGUUUUUCAAAUUAUUUUUUUAUGGAUCAAAAAAUAUUGGAUAAAUGGAUAAUAAAGAGUAUUCGAGGUAACUGGUAAUUAAAAUAAUUUUGAUUCGUAUUUUAAAAUGAUUCCGAUUUUUAUCAUAUGUUAUAUACUAGAGUAUCAAAUAAAUAUAGGAUAUUCUAUAUUUUUUUGUAUGUUUGUAUUUAUUGGAUUAUGUUAUGAUAUAGUAAUUGUGUUCUGAAGAGCUAAUAUGAAAUAGUUAAUAACUAGGAAGGAUCCCAGUAGUUAGGAAAGAAUUCUGAGAAAUGAACAAUUUGUGUUCUGAGAGCCCGCUUAGCUCAGAGGUUAGAGCAUCGCAUUUGUAAUGCGAUGGUCAUCGGUUCGAUUCCGAUAGCCGGCUUUUUUCUCUAUACUGAGAAAUGAACAAUUUGUGUUCUGAGAGCCCGCUUAGCUCAGAGGUUAGAGCAUCGCAUUUGUAAUGCGAUGGUCAUCGGUUCGAUUCCGAUAGCCGGCUUUUUUCUCUAUUUUUUUUUUUUUUCGCAUAAGGGAUAAUCAGGGAUAAUCUCUUAUUAUUUUAGGAAAAUAAUAGGGAGUUCCUUUUCUGUAGAACAAAGCAAUAAAAUAACCGCCUUUUUUUAUUUAUAUAGAAAUAUAAUAGAAUUCAAUUCUGAUACUGAUAGAAUCUUUCCAAUUGUUCUUUGUACUACACUAUUUCUAAUACAAUACUUUAAUAGUACAAUACUUUAAGUAGAUUUCACUUCAUUUAUAAUAUUUGUCAUUUAGUUUAGUUUUAAUUUUCCUUUAUGAAAUUUUCCAUUUAAAAAAGGAGUGUUUAUGUCACGUUACAGGGGGCCUCGUUUCAAAAAAAUACGGCGUCUGGGGGCUUUACCAGGACUAACCAGAAAAGAGCUUCCAGUUGGAAGCGAAUAAUCGCGCUCCAGUAAAAAAUCUCAAUAUCGUAUUCGUUUAGAAGAAAAACAAAAAUUGCGUUUUCAUUAUGGUCUUACAGAACGACAAUUGCUUAAAUACGUUCGUAUCGCUGGAAAAGCGAAAGGGUACGAUAGCCGGCUUUUUUCUCUAUUUUUUUUUUUUUUCACAUAAGGGAUAAUCAGGGAUAAUCUCUUAUUAUUUUAGGAAAAUAAUAGGGAGUUCCUUUUCUGUAGAACAAAGCAAUAAAAUAACCGCAUUUUUUUAUUUAUAUAGAAAUAUAAUAGAAUUCAAUUCGGAUACUGAUAGAAUCUUUCCAAUUGUUCUUUGUACUACACUAUUUCUAAUACAAUACUUUAAUAGUACAAUACUUUAAGUAGAUUUCACAUCAUUUAUAAUAUUUGUCAUUUAGUUUAGUUUUAAUUUUUCUUUAUGAAAUUUUCCAUUUAAAAAAGGAGUGUUUAUGUCACGUUACAGGGGGCCUCGUUUCAAAAAAAUACGGCGUCUGGGGGCUUU